UACGAAGGGGGCUAGCGUUGCUCGGAAUCACUGGGCGUAAAGCGCACGUAGGCGGGUCGUUAAGUCGGGGGUGAAAUCCUGGAGCUCAACUCCAGAACUGCCUUUGAUACUGGAGAGCUUGAGUCCGGAAGAGGUGAGUGGAACUCCGAGUGUAGAGGUGAAAUUCGUAGAUAUUCGGAAGAACACCAGUGGCGAAGGCGGCUCACUGGUCCGGUACUGACGCUGAGGUGCGAAAGCGUGGGGAGCGAACAGG
rnacentral:rRNA from 1 species